rnacentral:rRNA from 1 species
GACGAACGCUGGCGGCGUGCUUAACACAUGCAAGUCGAACGGAAAGGCCCUGCUUUUGUGGGGUGCUCGAGUGGCGAACGGGUGAGUAACACGUGAGUAACCUGCCCUUGACUUUGGGAUAACUUCAGGAAACUGGGGCUAAUACCGGAUAGGAGCUCCUGCUGCAUGGUGGGGGUUGGAAAGUUUCGGCGGUUGGGGAUGGACUCGCGGCUUAUCAGCUUGUUGGUGGGGUAGUGGCUUACCAAGGCUUUGACGGGUAGCCGGCCUGAGAGGGUGACCGGCCACAUGGGGACUGAGAUACGGCGCAGACUCCUACGGGAGGCAGCAGUGGGGAAUAUUGCACAAUGGGCGGAAGCCUGAGGCAGCAACGCCGCGUGCGGGAUGACGGCCUUCGGGUUGUAAACCGCUUUCGCCUGUGACGAAGCGUGAGUGACGGUAAUGGGUAAAGAAGCACCGGCUAACUACGUG